ACAUACGACCAUAGGUGCUGAAAAGUUCGGGAUCCCGUCCGCUCUCCUCAUGACAAACCAGCAACCGCCAGGGUAGUAGUUGGGUCGGAGACGACCAGCGAAUGUCUGGUGUUGUAUGUC
rnacentral:rRNA from 1 species